rnacentral:misc_RNA from 1 species
AGCAAAAGAGUACAGAUACUCCGAAGGAUGGAGACACUGAUGAAAUUCUUAGCAGUGAUGCCUUAAAGCGUUUUACUAAGCUUACAUUACAAAAUAGAGAUAUACUGGAGGAAUCUUGGGUGGACAACAUUAUUUGGGAACCAGAUCAGCCCUUUCCAAAGCCAAAGCUCAUAUAUGAUCUUCAAGAUGAACAAAUGCUUUUUGAAGUUUUGCAUAACAGGGACGACCAACAGCUUAUGCUUCAUGCUGGAGCAAUGAUCACAACUGGUUUAGUGAAGCCCAGUAGUGGUGAUUCUGCCGAGUUAUAUGGUCUCAGUGGUUUAUCUGGGCGUUUCAAUAUUGCCAAUG